GGUUGGUGUGUCCAUUAAACUGUUCUGUCUUUGGUAGGCUAGGUGGUUACCAGGUUGGUGUGUCCAUUAAACUGUUCUGUCUUUGGUAGGCUAGGUGGUUACCAAGUUGGUGUGUCCAUUAAACUGUUCUGUCUUUGGUAGGCUAGGUGGUUACCAAGUUUGUGUGUCCAUUAAACUGUUCUGUCUUUGGUAGGCUAGGUGGUUACCAAGUUGGUGUGUCCAUUAAACUGUUCUGUCUUUGGUAGGCUAGGUGGUUACCAAGUUUGUGUGUCCAUCAGAAUCUCUUGACUUGUUCAACACAAUGAUGAGGGGGAUGGUUAGCAUCUCUUGUCUUGAUACAUUUAAAAAAAAUAUUUAAAACAUCCAAUAUACUUGCAGUGAAGCCACUCAACA
ensembl:lncRNA